AGAUCAUGAUCGAGGGACCAGGAAGAACGGAUAAUCACCACUAUCCGGGAUAUGUAAAGCAGUGAAGAUUUUCAGGAGCUGCUGGCAAUUCUUCUGUGAGAUAUAUUAGUACUGGAUUGGAGCUUGGGAUAUUAGAUUUAAAAGUAGGACAUGAAAUCUAAAACAUAGGCUUAGCAUAUUGUAUUCUUAUGACCCCUGAUUCUAACAGUAUUUGCAUAUACUUUAUACAUACCCUGUAUAUUAGAAAUUGCAUUAAUUAAUGGCAAACUAUAACAACAAGCUUUUGGCCUGCUACCUUGGGCCCAGACAUGGGAGGAUCCCAAAUUUAUAGGAAUAUAUUUCUUAAUGCAUAACUGAUUUACAGUUCCCUCUUUUUUCUCGAUCCUCUGCCCACCAAUACAAUCUGAUGUUGGUCCUCUAUUUUGCUCCCGCUUCCCAAAUCCAUCAUCUCCGAAGGGUGACCAAGAUGGAGUGGAGUAACCAAGACCCAUUGAAUGUGUGGGGGAAAGAAGCAAAUGUAGAGAACCACCCAAGGCCCCAGGCAGGAGUUGAUCUGUUCUCAAUAAUAUAUCUGAAUAUCUGGGGUGUGGGUGAAAAGAAAACUGCCACCAGUGAAUGUGUAAUGCACUCGUUUUUUAUAUGAUCACAUAACCAAGUGAAGGUUUAAUAUUUGUUUUAUUGAAUUAGCAAAAAAUAUCCAAGUUAUAUACUGUAUAUGUGAAGCAAGACAUUUAUUUAUUUUCUGUGUUCUUAUCAUUCCAAUUAGAAAGCUGUCACAAAUAUACAAUACGAUCACUGAGCUAUGCAAAACUGUUUGACAUCCGACAAUUUCAGUGUAAAUUUGCCGUGGCUUAAAUAUUUAUGUAAAUAUACUUUCAACUCUUAAAACAUUCAUGUGUAGACGGGAUAGGCACGUUUAAAAAGAAACCGCUGAAAAAUAAAGCUUUUUUUUUCAUUUUAUAACGCACACAAAUCUUUGUGUGGAUUAUCUACAAUUGAAUAGUGGAAAUUACAAUACGAUACAUGAAGCAUUUUAGAUAAAUAGAAGUCCAUUAAUGGCAAAAAUGAAUUAAAAUGGCAGUAUGUGUCCUAUGGCACACUGGGAUUUUUGCUCCCCUUUCAUAUGUAUGAGAACCAGGUUGAUGAUGUCAGACUGAGAUCAAGCAUCAAUGCAUCUACUAGUUGUUCUAAGCUAUAUAAAGUGAUAUCGCCAUUGUAUUUAUAGCAGCAACAAACACAAUUGAUGGGAUUCAUUGCACCGUUACAAAUACACGCAUAAAAAUGAACCGUAGGUCUGUUCUAUGUGGAUGUAUUCCAGUUGAAUGUUGCUUUAUUAUGUGGUAUUAUAAAACUACAGCACUACGCAAUAUGUUGGCGCUAUAUAACUACAUGUUGAUGAUAAUAGUAAUAGACAGUGAAGAUAAAUUCUCUAGAUAUGAGACUUUGCAACUUUGUUCUUGAUUACGUGAUCAACAAUAGCUCUCGUUAUUUACACGCGUGUAAACAUUUGUGCUAGAAGGUCCCAAUGGAAAAUUUCAGCAUUAAUGAAGCUCAAAACCAAAAAGACGACCAGCAAGGAUAUAUCCUAAUGACUCCAUUAGUGUGCUGCCUAUAGCAUGUGUAUUUGGAUAGGCUGCAGCAUCAGGGAACAUCACACGGCCCUACAUAAAACUUCUGAUUUCAAGAUUGGUCCUUUAAAAUGUAAACAGUGCUGUAAACUAUUCUCUUCAUUUGAGGUCCUUUAAGACAAUUAUAAACAUACAAGUGUCUUUCAUUACUUGGGUGAAUAUAAAAGUAUAGUGGAUUCAUCUGGCAACUAGAACAUGCACAACUUCUUUUAUACACAAAUGCACACUCAAACAAACAGCAAUACACAUUAGAAGUUAUUUUUUUAAAACAAAUCGGUACAAACGAAUCAUAAUGCUUUUACACAUCCUAUUUACAGUCCCAGGCACAUUUAACGUCCCCUAGCAGGGAUGCCCUGAAUCCAGGAUUCAGCCUUUUUCACCAAGAUUUCAAAUGCUAAAAAUCACAAACAAGGAA